rnacentral:rRNA from 1 species
UAGCGGCGAAUGGGUGAGUAACACGUGCUUAAUCUACCCUUUAGAUUGGAAUACCCAAUGGAAACAUUGGCUAAUGCCGGAUACGCAUGGAAUCGCAUGAUUCCGUUGUGAAAGGAGCCUUUAAAGCUCCGCUAGAGGAUGAGGGUGCGGAACAUUAGUUAGUUGGUAGGGUAAUGGCCUACCAAGACUAUGAUGUUUAGCCGGGUCGAGAGACUGAACGGCCACAUUGGGACUGAGAUACGGCCCAAACUCCUACGGGAGGCAGCAGUAGGGAAUAUUCCACAAUGAGCGAAAGCUUGAUGGAGCGACACAGCGUGCACGAUGAAGGUCUUCGGAUUGUAAAGUGCUGUUAUAGGGAAAGAACACCUGGUUGAGGAAAUGCUUCCAGGCUGACGGUACCCUGUCAGAAAGCGAUGGCUAACUAUGUGCCAGCAGCCGCGGUAAUACAUAGGUCGCAAGCGUUAUCCGGAAUUAUUGGGCGUAAAGCGUUCGUAGGCUGUUUAUUAAGUCUGGAGUCAAAUCCCAGGGCUCAACCCUGGCUCGCUUUGGAUACUGGUAAACUAGAGUUAGAUAGAGGUAAGCGGAAUUCCAUGUGAAGCGGUGAAAUGCGUAGAUAUAUGGAAGAACACCAAAGGCGAAGGCAGCUUACUGGGUCUAUACUGACGCUGAGGGACGAAAGCGUGGGGAGCAAACAGGAUUAGAUACCCUGGUAGUCCACGCCGUAAACGAUGAUCAUUAGUCGGUGGAGAGUUCACUGACGCAGCUAACGCAUUAAAUGAUCCGCCUGAGUAGUAUGCUCGCAAGAGUGAAACUUAAAGGAAUUGACGGGGACCCGCACAAGCGGUGGAGCAUGUGGUUUAAUUUGAAGAUACGCGGAGAACCUUACCCACUCUUGACAUCCUUCGCAAUGCUAUAGAGAUAUAGCGGAGGUUAACGGAGUGACAGAUGGUGCAUGGUUGUCGUCAGCUCGUGUCGUGAGAUGUUUGGUCAAGUCCUGCAACGAGCGCAACCCCUAUCUUUAGUUACUAACGAGUCAUGUCGAGGACUCUAGAGAUACUGCCUGGGUAACUGGGAGGAAGGUGGGGAUGACGUCAAAUCAUCAUGCCUCUUACGAGUGGGGCAACACACGUGCUACAAUGGNCGGUACAAAGAGAAGCAAUAUGGCGACAUGGAGCAAAUCUCAAAAAGCCGAUCUCAGUUCGGAUUGGAGUCUGCAAUUCGACUCCAUGAAGUCGGAAUCGCUAGUAAUCGCAGAUCAGCUACGCUGCGGUGAAUACGUUCUCGGGUCUUGUACACACCGCCCGUCACACCAUGGGAGCUGGUAAUACCCAAAGUCGGUUAGCUAACC